rnacentral:rRNA from 1 species
GUGCAGGAUAGGUAGGAGACUUUGAAGUCGGAACGCUAGUUUCGAUUGAGUCACCCUUGAGAUACUACCUCUGUUGUAUGAACGUUCUAACUCUGAUCAGUUAUCCUGAUCGAAGACAGUGUCUGGCAGGCAGUUUGACUGGGGCGGUCGCCUCCUAAAAGAUAACGGAGGCGCUCAAAGGUUUGCUCAGAAUGGUUGGAAAUCAUUCGUAGCGUGUAAAGGCAUAAGCAAGCUUGACUGUGAGACUGACAAGUCGAGCAGGUACGAAAGUAGGACUUAGUGAUCCGGUGGUUCCGUAUGGAAGGGCCAUCGCUCAACGGACAAAAGCUACCCCGGGGAUAACAGGCUCAUCUCCCCCAAGAGUCCACAUCGACGGGGAGGUUUGGCACCUCGAUGUCGGCUCAUCGCAUCCUGGGGCUGUAGUCGGUCCCAAGGGUUGGGCUGUUCGCCCAUUAAAGCGGUACGCGAGCUGGGUUCAGAACGUCGUGAGACAGUUCGGUCCCUAUCCGUCGUGGGCGCAGGAAAUUUGAGAGGAUCUGUCCUUAGUACGAGAGGACCGGGAUGGACAUACCUCUGGUGUACCAGUUGUUCUGCCAAGAGCACCGCUGGGUAGCUACGUAUGGAUUAGAUAAUCGCUGAAAGCAUCUAAGUGAGAAACUAACCUCGAGAUGAGAUUUCCCAUUCGUCAGAAGUAAGACCCCUGAGAGACGAUCAGGUAGAUAGGCUAGAAGUGGAAGUGUAGUGAUGCAUGGAGCGGACUAGUACUAAUAGGUCGAGGACUUAACCAAG